rnacentral:rRNA from 1 species
AUUGAACGCUGGCGGCAGGCCUAACACAUGCAAGUCGAGCGGAUGACGGGAGCUUGCUCCUUGAUUCAGCGGCGGACGGGUGAGUAAUGCCUAGGAAUCUGCCUGGUAGUGGGGGACAACGUUUCGAAAGGAACGCUAAUACCGCAUACGUCCUACGGGAGAAAGCAGGGGACCUUCGGGCCUUGCGCUAUCAGAUGAGCCUAGGUCGGAUUAGCUAGUUGGUGAGGUACUGGCUCACCAAGGGGACGAUCCGUAACUGGUCUGAGAGGAUGAUCAGUCACACUGGAACUGAGACACGGUCCAGACUCCUACGGGAGGCAGCAGUGGGGAAUAUUGGACAAUGGGCGAAAGCCUGAUCCAGCCAUGCCGCGUGUGUGAAGAAGGUCUUCGGAUUGUAAAGCACUUUAAGUUGGGAGGAAGGGCAGUAAGCUAAUACCUUGCUGUUUUGACGUUACCGACAGAAUAAGCACCGGCUAACUUCGUGCCAGCCGCCGCCGUAA